GAUGAACGCUGGCGGCGUGCCUAAUACAUGCAAGUCGAGCGAACGGACGAGAAGCUUGCUCCUCUGAUGUUAGCGGCGGACGGGAGAGUAACUCGUGGAUAACCUACCUAUACGACUGGGAUAACUUCGGGAAACCGGAGCUAAUACCGGAUAAUAUUUUGAACCGCAUGGUUCAAAAGUGAAAGACGGUCUUGCUGUCACUUAUAGAUGGAUCCGCCCUUCAUCAGCUAGUGGGUAAGGUAACGGCUUAGCAAGGCAACGAUGCAUAGCCGACCUGAACGGGUGAUUCGCCACCCUGUCACUGAGACACGUCCCAGACUCCGACGCGAGGACGCAGCAGGGAAUCUUCCGCAAGGGAGCAGUGCCUGACGUAGCACCGUCGCCGGAGGGCUGAAGGUCUUCGGACCGUAGAGCUCUGUUAUUAGUGAAGAACAAAUGUGUAAGUACCUGUGCAGAUCUUGACGGUACCUAAUCAGAAAGCCACGGCUAACUACGUG
rnacentral:rRNA from 1 species